UAUGAGAUAGACUCAUUACACGCAAAGCGAGAUAGUUCAAGCCUUGAUUUGUCGUAAUUUUGAUGAUUGUGGCUGACAGCUCAUGAAAACCCCAAAUUCACAAUCUCAGAAAAUUAGAAUAUUGUGAAAAGAUUCAAUAUUCUAGGCUCAAAGUGUCUCACUCUAAUCAGCUAAUUAAGCCAUAACACCUGCAAAGGGUUCCUGAUCCUUUAAAUGGUCUCCCAGUCUGGUUCAGUAGGAAUCACAAUCAUGGGAAAGACUGGUAUCCUGACAGUUGUGCAGAAAACCAUCUGUCAGUUUUGGAAGGCAAAUUUCUUUUGCUUCUUAACUGCCACAUAUUUUAGCUGGGGAAGUUGGGAGGGGGUUGUUGGAGCGGUAGAAAGUUAGUCAUAACAGCAUUCCGUAUUCAAGGACUUUUGUCUGUGUCUGAUGUAGAUUGCCUAAAGAGUUGAUUGGACAAUGUGAUGAACUUGUGGGUGUGGGGCAGGGCUGUGAACUGUCAAUUGGGUGUGGAAAACCUGGAAGCUUUCAGUUUCGGGUAUUCCCAGCUGUGCCAACAUGACAUCUCUAAUGAAUUGGAACUUUGAGGAACCUCAAGCCUUAGAGCUUUAUUUCGUUGGGGGUGUUCCCUGAAACCCUGACACCAUCAUUGACACCCUCCAUAAGGAGGGAAAGCCUCAAAAGGUAAUUGCAAAAUAAGUUGGAUGUUCCCAAAGUGCUGUAUCAAAGCACAUUAAUAGAAAGUUAUGUGGAAGGGAAAAGUGUGGAAGAAAAAGGUGCACAAGCAGCAGGGAUGACUGCAGCUUGGAGAGGAUUGUCAGGAAAAGGCCAUUCAAAAGUGUUGGAGACUUUCACAAAGAGGGGACUGAGGCUGGAGUCAGUGCACCACACACAGAUGGAUCCUGGACAUGGGCUUCAAAUGUCGUAUGCCUCUUAUCAAGCCGCUCCUGAACAACAAACAUCAGAAGCGUCUUACCUGGGCUAAAGAAAAAAAGAACUGGUCUGUUGCUCAGUGGUCCAAAGUCCUCUUUUCUGAUGAGAGCAACUUUUGCAUCUCAUUUGGAAACCAAGGAUCCAGAGUCUGGAGGAAGAAUGGAGAGGCACACAUUGCAAGAUGCUUGAAGUCCAGUGUGAAGUUUCCAGUCUGUGUUGAUUUGGGGAGCCAUGUCAUCUGCUGGUGUUGGUCCAUGGGGCUUCAUUAAGUCCAGGGUCAACAUAGCCGUCUACCAGGAGAUUUUGAAGCACUUCAUGCUUCCUUCCGCAGACGAGCUUUAUGGGGAUGUUGACUUCAUUUUCCAGCAGGACUUGACACCUGCCCACACUGCCAAAAGUAUCAAAAUCUGGUUCAGUGCCCAUGGGAUUACUGCGCUUGAUUAGCCAGCAAACUCGCCUGACCUGAACCCCAUAGAGAAUCUAUGGGGAAUUCCCAAGAGAAAGAUGAGAGACGUGAGACCGAACAAUGCAGAAGAGCUGAAGGCUGCAAUUGAAGCAUCCUGGUCUUCCAUAACACCUCAGCAGUGCCACAGGCUGAUAGCAUCCACGCCACGCCGCAUUGAGGCAGUAAUUGAUGCAAAAGGGGCCUAAACCAAGUACUGAGUACAUAUGCAUGCUUAUACUUUUCAAAGGUCCGAUAUUGUUCUAUGUACAAUCCUUGUUUUAUUGAUUUCAUGUAAUAUUCUAAUUUUCUGAGAUUGUGAAUUUGGAGUUUUCAUGAACUGUCAGCCAUAAUCAUCAAAAUUAUGACAAAUCAAGGUGUGAACUAUCUCGCUUUGCAUGUAAUGCAGGGGUGAAAUGCUUCCUGUUCGGACCGGAUCAUGCGAUCCGGUAGCGAUGGGGGCAGGUAGUUCGGAGAACCGAUAGCAAAAAUCCCUGGCCCCCCACCACCACCCAUGCCUCACUGUUCCUCUUCUCUGUCCCUGAAGCUCUCAGUGGUGAUAUAGCUGCAAACGGCCUUAAAUUACGGGACCGCCUGCUGCUACCUCAUGCCUCCCACCGACCCGUACGCUCACACAGAGAGGGACUUCUCAGGGUGCCGUCCACCAAACAAUGUCGGCUGGCGGCCCCCAGGGGAAGAUCCUUCUCUGUGGGGGCUCCUACUCUUUGGAAUGAACUUCCCCCUGGUUUACGCCAAAUAUCGGACCUUCGGACCUUUCGCCGCGAACUGAAAACAUAUUUGUUUGUUCGCACGGGGCUCUCUUAAAUUGUCCAGAUUUUAAAUUUAAAUUUUUAAAGUUUUAAAUUGAGGUUUUUUAGAUUUUAUAUAUUUUAAAUUUCUUGGCCAAACUGUAUAAUAAGUUUUUUAAUUUAUUUUUAAGUGUACAUUGUUUAUUUUUAUUAUGGCUGUACACCGCCCUGAGUCCUUCGGGAGAAGGGCGGUCUAGAAAUCUAAUAAAAUAAAUAAAUAAAUAAAAUAAAUAAAUGACUGCCCCAGCACUUCAAAGGGCCGCACUACAGCUGAUCAGUGCUGUAGGCAGCUAGUAGACUAGUGCCUCCCAAAAAAGGCAAUUGGUAGACUGAUGCCUCUAUUUUUAAAGUAGGUAGACCAGUGCCUCUAUUUUUAAAGAAGAUAGACCGGUGCGCUCCCAAAUUUUGUAUACUUUAUUAUUUUUAUUAUUAUUAUUGGCCAUGUCCAUUCAGUCAAGCCACAUCCACCAAUUAAGCCACACCCACAGAACCGGUAGGGAAGAUUUUUAGAUUUUACCCGAUGUAAUGAGUCUAUCUCAUAUAUUAGUUUCACCUUUUAAGCUGCAUUACUGAAAUAAAUGAACUUUUGCACGAUAGUCUAAUUUUUUGAGUUUCACCUGUAGAACUUUUUCUUCAUUUUUCACUUAAAAUAAUAUUUAAAAAAAAAAUAAUCAAGCAGAUAGUACCUGCAUAUGUACAGUACCUAGUGUAUUAAAUAGUCAGUACACCACAUUAAAGGUUUGAUUUUUAACAUUCUUUUGCUCAUCUCAUUUUUUUUUACUGUUUAAAAAACCUACAUUUUAAAUCUGAAAAUAGCUGUUAAGGGUACUAAGUUGUAUUUUUGAUUUGCACUCUGAAGGGUAGCAUGGUAGAAAUAUCCAGCGUUUCCAGAAAUCUCUCUUAGGCUGUGGAAAAGGGAGGGAUGAGCCAUAGAUAUAGCAACAUGAGGAAGAAUAAUAGUGGAAUAUUCCUUCAGUCAGUAUUGAAGCCCUUCUGGCCAAGUUAAUCCACUGUCUUCCAUGUUCCUGAAUUAGCAGAUUCUAGAAUGUUUUUUUAGAAGCUAACUGUACUUUUUUUAAGGAGACCAACUUGUGGAGAAGAUGAAACAUACAAAUAGAAACUUGUAGGAAAGCACAUUAUCCACCAACAGAAAUUAAGUUUGGGGAUCAUAGUUUUUAGUGAUCUUUUAUAUAUCAUUAAUUCCCUUGAUCUGGAUUUGAUUUUGAUUGUUUUGUGAAUGUUUCUUCCAAACACUGUAACCUUGUGUUCCUGAUCUGGAUAAUGGAUGUAACAAUUCAUCUAGCUGAUAUCAUGAUCAAAUGGAUUCAACUCAGAGUAAGGCUGUUAUCUCUUGAUGCAUUGAAAAAUGAUUCCUAUGUUAGUUGCUUAUGAACUCUUGAAGUGCAGAUUAAAAACAGAUUCUACACUGCUCUGAAUUGUUUGUAUAAUAUCAACUUUUAUUGAAUACAAUACAGAACACAGUGUCCCAGUCAGAAUAGAUGACACCAAUAAAUUAAAAAAUGUAUUUUAGCUUUCCAACAUCAAUGUGAAUAUAAUUAUUUUUCCAGUUUUUCCAAUGUAGAUUAGGGAGAGAGGAUUGGGAAGAUAAUUUAAACAGAAAGAUUUAAAUUGGACAAAAAUGGCAUUGUAAUUAGUUUAAUAAGAAAGUUAUGGUUAUAGGCAAAAUAUUUGUUGUUGAAAAAUUCAAAGAUAAUUAUUUUCCAUUUAAGGUCUUUGUGAAAGAAAAUAAACCUUUAAAAAAAUCUUACGUAUUUGCAAAAGGAAUAUUAAAAAAAUGUCUAUUAAUCUAUAAAUGCCACAAUGUCAGCAAAUACAACUCAUUGUUGGAAUAAGAAUAAAAAUUGUGUUACAGUGCAAUACAGGUAGUCCUGAACUUAUAACCACAAUUGAGCCCAAAACUGAUGUUGCUAAGCAAUAGUUAGGGAGUUUUGCCCCAUUUUAUAACCUUUCUUGCUGUAGUCAUUAAGUGAAUCACUGCAGUUAACUUAGUAACACAUUUAAGUGCAUCUGACUUCCCCACUGACUUUAUUAGAAGAUCGCAAAAGGUGAUCACAUGACCCCAGGACAUUGCAACCCUUAUAAAUACGUGUGAAGGUAACCAAAUUCUGAUCAUGUGACUGGGAAUGGGAUGCUGCAGUAGUGGUAAAUGUGAAAAAUGGUCAUAAAUCCCUUUUCUCAGUGCUUUCAAUCAAUCAUUAAAUCAAUGGUUAUACAUUGAGGACUACCUGUACUAUAUUCUGAAGUAAUGCCCAUCAUACUCAUGUGACUUACCUCGUUGUAGCUAAACCAUAGAAAAACCAUGAGAACAAAUUAAUUUGCAUAAAGAGACAUUGCAGAAGGAAAUAAAUGGGCAGUGGGAGAUACUUGAUCUUCCUGUUUAUUAUCAGUUUUCUUUCAUAACAUUUUAGUUUUGUUUCUGAUUGAGGAGCCAGACUGGGAAAAAUGUGUUUGUGUGUAGAGGGGAAAUAAUUAAGAGCCAAAUAAAGAACUAACAUGUCCUUCCCUUCCAGCUACCAUUUCUCACUUGCAAACACAUGCUGCAAUUAAAAAAAGUUGGCUGAAGUAACAUGUCGUUUGUCUGUAUGCCAAGCUAGUUUAUGGAAAGCUCAGCUGGCGUGCAUUUGUGUGGGCACAUAGCAAGAAUACCUCUGUAUGCUUAUCUGCUCUUGGUGCCUCUAGAAGGUCAAAGAUGGCAUGUAGGGAUCUGGUGUUCUAUUCUGUAAGAGGUAUAAUGAUUAUCAAUUGCAAACUUAAGCAAAGACCACAAAGAGAUCAUCAAGGACUCUGGAAAAUACAGAUCUGAGCUUAUGGAGACUAAGCGUAGCAAACUGAUGAGACCAGACAUUGACCAGUGGACUGGCCCGCAAUGUAUUCCUCUGAUAAGAAUAAGUCAAGAUAUCCAUUGUUUUUUAACAAUACAGAUCUAAAAAGAACUCCAAACUGCCUUAGCUCCAAGGCCUGGGUUCAAUAGAUUAAGUUCUUUGUAUGGUAAAAUAACUUUGGGUUAUGUGGGACUGUUUUUGGAGUGUUCUUCCUCGAUAUUCAUGUACAUGUUUAAAUAGAGUGCAGUGCAUCCAAAAGCUAUCCUAAACAAGGCUACUAGAAAUAAAUGGGAACUGUCAAUUUAUUCUAUAGUUUUCGUUCAUUGCAAAGAGAUUAUAUAGAAUUUCUACUGCACUGAUGAAUCAUUUCUUUCCCAUUGACUCUUAACUGUGAGGAAAUGCAACAUCCUGAAGAGAAUUCAGAGGAAAAUUGUCUUUGUCUAUAUACUGUGCCUUUGUACUUUUGGCUAUAUAGCUGAACCUAUAUAUAUUGUAAUCUAUGGCUGUAUUUUUUGUUGCGGUAAGCCAAAGUCUGGUUUGGAUUGCAUGUGUUGUUCAAAUACAACAAAAUGUAUUACAUACAAUAAAGCAUGCCUCAGCUGGACGUGUCUGUAAGUGGCUCAUAAUAAAGAUCUAUCCCCCUCAACACAAGAAAAGUCAUUAACAGAUUAAACUGGGAUGAAAAGGAUCUUAGUGGAGAAUCCCUCAUUAUGGCUAUUUUUCAACAGCCAGAGAGAUUUUAUUUUAUGAAGGUACAAUUUUAAUGGUGUAACCAAAGAAUAGUUUCAUUUAUCUCAUCUAAGAUUCGUGCAGACCUGCAUCGCUACAGUAUUCUUUUAGUCACGUAUUGGUUCAAAAGCCUUGUGUACAUUUUAUUAAGAUUCUUCUCUUGGACCUUUUGUGACAGGUGCCAGUUCUGAAAUUGUUAUUGAUCAAAUUUGUACAGUGCUGUAAUCAUGUAAUAGACUUCCAAUAGUAAUAAUGGAUUCACUAUAUUAGCUGCUGAAGACAGUGAAAAGUUUCCAAGGCAUUUAAACCUGCAGACCAAUGCUACUGCAGAUAUAUCCCAUCAUCCACUACCAUGUCAAGAGAACUGACAGCUGUUUUCUCUUAUUAAAAUGUGUAUGUCCUUUCCUCCAGUAGUUCAAAGUAGUUUAUGGACCACCCUUCCCUAAUUUUCCCUAAAACAGUGGCCUUUUGGGCUGAAAGUGAUUGGCCCAAACUCCCUCAGUGAACUCCCAUGGUCGAAAAUGGACUUGAAUCUAGCACAUGUUGAUCUUUAGCCCAACAAUUUGAAUUUAUCAAUCAAGCAACACAGGAGAUCAAAACAGUGAAACACACCAGUGAAGAGGGGAUACAGAAGAAAAAUGAGAAAAGUGAUGAAGGUCUUCCAACUGGACAAGAAGCAAGCACAUUCAGAGACGAGGUGAGAUAAAGCUAGAAUUAUAAAGAAGAGAAGAAGGACAGAUUUGGGUGGUAGAAUCAAGAGCAGAUUUCUGGCUUAUCAGAAUUUUAUCUAGAAUGCCUUAACUUACAUGUGCUGGAUAUUUUGUAAGAUGUCUAUUAACAGAGGUGUACUUCUCUUCUGCUAUUUUGGAACUUAGCCUUACAAGUUGCCUGUUCUCAGCAAUGCAGAUUUUUCUCGUUUGACAAAAGGCAGGCAUCUUACUUCUUUGAUCCUAUUUUCUCUCUGUAGACCUGAUAAGGAAUUCUUUGAAAAUCAAAUGUUCAAGAGCAACCUGCUACAAUAAAUGAUACAGUCAUAAGAA